AAGAUAGAAAGUAAUUGGUAAAUGAUAAGAAUUACCAUCUAGUGAUUAAAUACUACAUUUAAUUGCUAUGUACAAAAAUGCCCUUGAAAUUUUAUGCGACAUUACCAAAAUGCCCUUUUAGUUUAUUAGUGUAUUAUUAGUUGAAUUGUUGGUAGAUUAUUGCUAGCCAACACUCCUACCCUACCCAUCUAGCAUCCAAUGCUCAAUCAUUCAAGUUGAAUCAUCCAAUUGUAGCAUCCAAUGUAUCUAAUAUAUUUUUAUAUAGAUUAAAGAGAGGGGAAAUGACCAUUUUACCCUUUUUGUCCAUCUUAGUGCAUUAUUUGUGCAUUAUUGUGCUACCAAUCCCACCAAAUCCGGCCAACCACUCCAUAAUUAUCAUGUGAGCUCAAUUAUACCAACCAAAUCAGCAUCCAAAGCAUCUAGCAUGGCCUAUAAAUAGAGAUCAAGGAGAUUGAAUGAAAACACACACUAAUAUUUUCUAAACUCUCUAGCCACACUCUCUCAACCUCUAGCCAACGAAAUUAUCUUACCCAUAAGCUCAUAAUCAAAGCCCAACCAUCACAAACCACAAAUCAGAAGCAUCAAGAAGCCAGAAAUCAAAAAUCAAGCUUGAAAAGGUAGGAAAUCCUAAAUUCUAGAAAUCCUUCGAUUCGAUGUUAAUUGAUGCAAUUGAUUGUUUAAAGUUGUGUAAUAGAGAGUCUAUUAAUGUUCUGGAUUGUUAAAUUCAUGACCCAUAACAUCAAAGUGC
rnacentral:lncRNA from 1 species